rnacentral:rRNA from 1 species
GACGAACGCUGGCGGCGUGCCUAACACAUGCAAGUCGAGCGGGAAUUCAUAGACUGAUUUCUUCGGAAUGAUGAUUAUGAAGGAGAGCGGCGGACGGGUGAGUAACGCGUGAGUAACCUGCCUUCAGGAGGGGGACAACACUUCGAAAGGGGUGCUAAUACCGCAUAAUAUACAUUUAAGGCAUCUUAGAUGUAUCAAAGAUUUUAUCGCCUGAAGAUGGACUCGCGUCUGAUUAGCUAGUUGGUGGGGUAAAGGCCUACCAAGGCGACGAUCAGUAGCCGAACUGAGAGGUUGAUCGGCCACAUUGGGACUGAGACACGGCCCAGACUCCUACGGGAGGCAGCAGUGGGGGAUAUUGCGCAAUGGGGGGCAACCCUGACGCAGCAACGCCGCGUGAAGGAAGAAGGUUUCGUAGUCGUAAACUUACUUUAAGU